UAGGGAAUCUUCCGCAAUGGACGAAAGUCCGACGGAGCAACGCCGCGUGAGCGAUGAAGGCUUUCGGGUCGUAAAACUCUGUUGUUAGGGAAGAACAAGUAUGAGAGUAACUGCUCGUACCUUGACGGUACCUAACCAGAAAGCCACGGCUAACUACGUGC
rnacentral:rRNA from 1 species